rnacentral:rRNA from 1 species
UACGAAGGGGGCUAGCGUUGCUCGGAAUUACUGGGCGUAAAGGGAGCGUAGGCGGACAUUUAAGUCAGAGGUGAAAUCCCGGAGCUUAACUUCGGAACUGCCUUUGAUACUGGGUGUCUUGAGUGUGAGAGAGGUAUGUGGAACUCCGAGUGUAGGGGUGAAAUUCGUAGAUAUUCGGAAGAACACCAGUGGCGAAGGCGACAUACUGGCUCAUUACUGACGCUGAGGCUCGAAAGCGUGGGGAGCAAACAGG